GACGAACCGUGCGAACGUUGUUCGGAAUCACUGGGCUUAAAGGGCGCGUAGGCGGCUCGCCAAGUCGGGGGUGAAAUCUUGCCGCUUAACGGCAAAAGAGCUUCCGAUACUGGCGGGCUGGAGGGGGAUAGGGGUGCGCGGAACUUCCGGUGGAGCGGUGAAAUGCGUAGAUAUCGGAAGGAACGCCGGUGGCGAAAGCGGCGCACUGGAUCCCCACUGACGCUGAGGCACGAAAGCGUGGGGAGCGAACAGG
rnacentral:rRNA from 1 species